rnacentral:tRNA from 1 species
GGAGAGGUGACUGAGAGGCCGAAAGUGGCAGAUUGCUAAUCUGUUGUACUGGGAAACCGGUACCCAGGGUUCGAAUCCCUGCCUCUCCG